AGGUUAAGCGGAAAAGGGCGCACGGCGGAUGCCUAGGCACUAGGAGGCGAGGAAGGACGCGGCAAACGGCGAAACGCCUCGGGGAGCUGUAAGCAAGCGAUGAUCCGGGGAUAUCCGAAUGGGGAAACCCGUUAGGGCGGAGCCCUAACACGUAUAGCUGAAUCCAUAGGCUAUACGGGGGAAACGCAGGGAACUGAAACAUCUAAGUACCUGCAGGAAAAGAAAGAAAGAUCGAUUCCCUGAGUAGCGGCGAGCGAAAGGGGAGGAGCCCAAACCACCGGAAGGUGGGGUAGUAGGACCACCGGGAGGCGCGAUUGGGCAUAGACGAACUACACUGGGAAGGUAGACCGAAGAGGGUGAAAGUCCCGUAGUCGAAAUGCCGGAUCGAGCUGGGUGGGAUCCUGAGUACGGCGGGACACGAGGAAUCCCGUCGGAAGCAGGGAGGACCAUCUCCCAAGGCUAAAUACUCCCUAGUGACCGAUAGUGGACGAGUACCGUGAGGGAAAGGUGAAAAGAACCCCGGGAGGGGAGUGAAAGAGAACCUGAAACCGUGUGCCUACAAGUAGUCAGAGCCCGUUAAGGGGUGAUGGCGUACUUUUUGUAGAACGGACCGGCGAGUUACGAUACCGUGCGAGGUUAAGGGCAUUAGGCCUGGAGCCGGAGCGAAAGCGAGUCUGAAGGGGGCGAUGAGUACGGUGUCGUAGACCCGAAACCGAGUGAUCUAGCCAUGCGCAGGGUGAAGGUUGGGUAAAGCCAACUGGAGGCCCGAACCGGGGUCUGUUGAAAAAGACUCGGAUGACGUGUGGCUAGGGGUGAAAUGCCAAACGAACUCGGAGAUAGCUGGUUCUCCCCGAAAUAGCUUUAGGGCUAGCCUCAUGGAUUUCCUAUUGGAGGUAGAGCACUGAUUAUACAAUGGCCCCACCUCGGGGUACUGCGUGUAAUCAAACUCCGAAUGCCAAUAGGGAGAAGUGGGAGUCAGACGGUGGGUGAUAAGAUCCAUCGUCGAGAGGGAAACAGCCCAGACCGUCAGCUAAGGUCCCGAAAUGGGCGUUAAGUGGGAAAGGAUGUGGAGGCACGAAGACAACUAGGAUGUUGGCUUAGAAGCAGCCAUCAUUUAAAGAGUGCGUAAUAGCUCACUAGUCGAGUGACUCUGCGCCGAAAAUGUAACGGGGCUAAACGCCCUACCGAAGCUACGGAACGGAGACGUUGGUAGGGGAGCGUUCUAAGGGCGAAGAAGCCAGACCGGAAGGACUGGUGGAGCGCUUAGAAGUGAGAAUGCCGGUGUGAGUAGCGAGAAGGCCGGUGGGAAUCCGGCCCGUCGAAAGUCUAAGGAUUCCAGAGGCAGGUUCGUCCGCUCUGGGUAAGUCGGGGCCUAAGGCGAGGCCGAAAGGCGUAGCCGAUGGGAAACUGGUGGAUAAUCCAGUACCUCUAUUACCACUGAAGGAGUGACGAAGAAGGCUAGGGUGAGCGAACGGAUGGAAGGGUUCGUCCAAGCGUUCGAGGCUAAAGGGCAGGCAAAUCCGCCCUUUGGGAAGGCUGAGGCGUGAAGGGGAGCCGGAAGGCGAAGCACCCGAGGCCAGGCUUCCGAGAAAAGCUUCUAGGGAAAAUGGUAAUAGAGCCCGUACCGGAAACCGACACAGGUAGACGAGGAGAGGAUCCUAAGACGCGCGAGCGAACUAUCGUUAAGGAACUCGGCAAAAUGGCCCCGUAACUUCGGGAGAAGGGGUGCUUGCGCGAGCAAGCCGCAGUGAACAGGCCCAAGCGACUGUUUAACAAAAACACAGGUCUCUGCGAAACCGAAAGGUGAGGUAUAGGGGCUGACGCCUGCCCGGUGCUGGAAGGUUAAGGGGAGGGGUUAGCGGAAGCGAAGCUCCGAACCGAAGCCCCAGUAAACGGCGGCCGUAACUAUAACGGUCCUAAGGUAGCGAAAUUCCUUGUCGGGUAAGUUCCGACCCGCACGAAAGGCGUAACGACUUGGGCGCUGUCUCGACGAUAGGCUCGGUGAAAUCAUAGUACCCGUGAAGAUGCGGGUUACCCGCGACAGGACGGAAAGACCCCGUGGAGCUUUACUGCAGCUUGAUAUUGGGCCUUGUUGCGCCAUGUACAGGAUAGGUAGGAGACGGAGAAUCAGGUACGCCAGUAUCUGAGGAGUCGGCGUUGGGAUACUACCCUUGGCGCAGCGAGGUUCUAACCAACGGCCGUGAUCCGGCCGGGGGACAGUGUCAGGCGGGCAGUUUGACUGGGGCGGUCGCCUCCCAAAGGGUAACGGAGGCGCCCAAAGGUUCCCUCAGAAUGGUUGGAAAUCAUUCGGAGAGCGCAAAGGCAGAAGGGAGCUUGACUGCGAGACUGACAAGUCGAGCAGGGACGAAAGUCGGGCUUAGUGAUCCGGCGGUACCGGAUGGAAGGGCCGUCGCUCAACGGAUAAAAGCUACCCCGGGGAUAACAGGCUGAUCACAUCCAAGAGUUCACAUCGACGAUGUGGUUUGGCACCUCGAUGUCGGCUCAUCGCAUCCUGGGGCUGAAGUCGGUCCCAAGGGUUGGGCUGUUCGCCCAUUAAAGCGGUACGCGAGCUGGGUUCAGAACGUCGUGAGACAGUUCGGUCCCUAUCCGUCGCGGGCG
rnacentral:rRNA from 1 species